AGAGUUUGAUCCUGGCUCAGAUUGAACGCUGGCGGCAUGCCUUACACAUGCAAGUCGAACGGUAGAGGGGCAACCCUUGAGAGUGGCGAACGGGUGAGUAAUGCAUCGGAACGUGCCCAGUCGUGGGGGAUAACGCAGCGAAAGCUGUGCUAAUACCGCAUGUGAUCUGUGGAUGAAAGCAGGGGACUUGGUAGCAAUACUGGGCCUUGUGCGAUUGGAGCGGCCGAUGUCAGAUUAGCUAGUUGGUAGGGUAAAAGCCUACCAAGGCGACGAUCUGUAGCUGGUCUGAGAGGACGACCAGCCACACUGGGACUGAGACACGGCCCAGACUCCUACGGGAGGCAGCAGUGGGGAAUUUUGGACAAUGGGCGCAAGCCUGAUCCAGCAAUGCCGCGUGCAGGACGAAGGCCUUCGGGUUGUAAGCUGCUUUUGUACGGAGCGAAACGGUCUGGGUUAAUACCCUAGGCUAAUGACGGUACCGUAAGAAUAAGCACCGGCUAACUACGUGCCAGCAGCCGCGGUAAUAC
rnacentral:rRNA from 1 species